CGAGCGUCAUUAGACACUAUCAAGCUGAGCUUGGGCUUGGGCUGUGCCUGUAAAGGGGCUGGCUCUAAAAUCAGUGGCAGCGUCACCCGACUCUAAGCGUAGUAAUCAUCUCUCGCUAUUGGGUCCGGUGGUCGCUCGCCGACAACCCCGAAUUCUAAACGUUUGACCUCGGAUCGUGUAGGAAUACCCGCUGAACUUAA
rnacentral:misc_RNA from 1 species